rnacentral:rRNA from 1 species
AUUGAACGCUGGCGACAUGCCUUACACAUGCAAGUCGAACGGCAGCACGGGUGCUUGCACCUGGUGGCGAGUGGCGAACGGGUGAGUAAUACAUCGGAACAUGUCCUGUAGUGGGGGAUAGCCCGGCGAAAGCCGGAUUAAUACCGCAUACGAUCUACGGAUGAAAGCGGGGGACCUUCGGGCCUCGCGCUAUAGGGUUGGCCGAUGGCUGAUUAGCUAGUUGGUGGGGUAAAGGCCUACCAAGGCGACGAUCAGUAGCUGGUCUGAGAGGACGACCAGCCACACUGGGACUGAGCCACGGCCCAGACUCCUACGGGAGGCAGCAGUGGGGAAUUUUGGACAAUGGGCGAAAGCCUGAUCCAGCAAUGCCGCGUGUGUGAAGAAGGCCUUCGGGUUGUAAAGCACUUUUGUCCGGAAAGAAAUCCUUGGCCCUAAUACGGUCGGGGGAUGACGGUACCGGAAGAAUAAGCACCGGCUAACUACGUG